GACGAACGCUGGCGGCGUGCUUAACACAUGCAAGUCACGGGGGGCCCGCAAGGGUCAACCGGCGAACGGGUGCGUAACACGUGAGCGACCUGCCCAAUUGCGGGGGAUAGCCGGCCCAACGGCCGGGUAAUACCGCAUACGCUUCCCUGGGGGCAUUCUUGGGGAAGGAAACCUACGGGGCGAUUGGAGGGGCUCGCGGCCUAUCAGCUAGUUGGCGAGGUAACGGCUCACCAAGGCGAUGACGGGUAGCUGGUCUGAGAGGAUGGCCAGCCACAUUGGGACUGAGAGACGGCCCAGACUCCUACGGGAGGCAGCAGUGGGAAUCUUGCGCAAUGGCCGAAAGGCUGACGCAGCGACGCCGCGUGGAGGAUGACGCCC
rnacentral:rRNA from 1 species